UUGUUUAUCAUAGCACUAAUGUAAAAUGUUAAUUGUUAAUACUUAAUAGUUAAUACAUUGAUAGUUGAUUUACGUUUUACAAAGUGUUUAUUACUUAACUAUCAGCUAAAUAAGUUUGUUUUCAUGGCAAUUCUAAAAUCAAAAGGUGGUUCAUGUUGUGCAGUUGCCUCAUGCAAAUAUUAUUCAGGCAAAGCCAAAAAUACUGGUAAAACCGAUUUGUCUUUUCACAGGCGCACGAUGAGAUUAUCACUUUGGCUCUAAAUGAUAAUGUAUUAUCUUCUUCUACUCAAAAUUCAGAAUGUGACCUAGAGUCAACUCAAUUAUUGAACUUGUCACAACCUCAAGAUUAUGACUAUUCAUCCAGAUGAAAUAUUUAAAUGAGCAUUCCAGCAAAUUAUUAAAAAAAAGGAAAGCAAAAUCUCAACUUGAAAAGCUCCAAAAACUAAAAAGACUAAUGACGUAUUUGUGGCAAUAUUAUUAUGUAUUUUAUAUUUUUGUACAAUAGUUAUGUAAUAUACUAUAAAAUUGUUCUUUUUA